GUCAGCGUGAUAGUGGCUGUGACCACAGCUGUGCGUUAGUUACGGUUACAGUUGUGACAUACAAGGAGUCGUUUAUGAUAGGUCUAACAUUGAAUGCACAUGGAGAAUAUAUGUAACUUGUAUUGAAUAUACUCUAUUUCUGAACACUUGUGGUAUUUUAACAACUAGCAUUAAAGCAUUUUAAUAGUACAGCAAGAUCUCCACUUCAGUCCAUAUGCAGAAAUUAUAUUACUAUGAGUGAACGCCACAAUGGCCUACAAAAAAUAAAAUAAAAUAAAAACUCCAGUGUAACCUUCUGGGGGAGCUCCACAGACUCAAAGAGCUUAGGAUCUAAAAACACUGAUUUUCUUAAGCUUGUGCUAGCUUUUAACUUUAAAUCACUUUUUUUUUUUUUUUUAAAUUGUGUGUCAACAUAAUAGUAUGAUAAUGCAAGUUAUUAUGCACAGAUCUGAAAUAUUAACCAAUUCUCAUUACACAGACUCUGCAAACAAUUUGAUUUCAGCCACUGUUGAAUACAGGCUGACCUUUGCCUCAUAAAAUGAUUAGAUGUGACACUGCGUGUAAAAACCACACCAGCAUUUGGAUAUUCAGUAACAUAUAUUUUGACAGAUUAUUAUGUCAAGGGGACAGGCAUUUUUCCCUCCUCCACUUCACCUCAACAUCUUAAGUUAAGGUGCAAUUAUACAAAAGUGAGCAAACACUAUGCAAUAAAAACAUUCAACUUGACACAGGUGAAAUGUCAGGUGAUAUUAUUGUCAUGCAGAUAUGGCACAAUGACAUUAGUUUUUUUUUUAAGGGGUGGGAGGGGGCAAAAGUCAUAAGAUGUUGACACUGAUAAAUGUUUAACUUCUCUGAAAUAUCACAGGACAAUGAUAGAUUUCAAAUAACACACUAAAACUGGAAUAUGUACAACACUAUGAAUGAAACAUUUACAAAAUGUAGAUUGGUCUACUACUGACAAGGUGUAAAAACAGUAAUCAAUUCAAUCUUAACAGACCAUAUAAAAUCUUAAUUUGUACGAAAUACUGUAAAAAUGACUGUACAGUAUUGUGACACCCAAAUCUUGCCAAUCAGGAUUGAAGCGACCAGUACAAGCCCACUGAUAAACCAAACUUUGGGAAUUCACAUAUAAUUAAUAUGGCAGUUCUGAGUGUUGAUAUAAUAAAAAUCAGGCACAUUUGGUCCACUUGCCACAGUUCCUGGUAAAAGCCAAAAUUCUGAUAAUUUCUACUUUAUUGAUGCAAAAACUCUUUAAAUUUUAUAAAAAGAGUAACUGCAAAAAUCAUCUCAACAGGUAACGUAUGCUAUUUUCUUGC
ensembl:lncRNA